GCAGAGCUGUUGGCUCCACUCUCCCCCGUCAUAAACAAACAAUCCUCUUGUUUCUGAUAAGUUAUUUUCCCUCUAUUAAAGGAACCCGGUGGGUUAUUUGCUUUGGUUCGCUCCUCCCGUGAGCCAGUGGUGCAUUUGCAUUCCAUUCUCUUGCUCCCUCCAGCCCUAAAGAUGCCUGCCAAAAUUAGUCAACAGAUAACUACUCAGAGGAAGCUUUUAAGAACGUGUUAGGAAAGGCUUGAACAUUACCCAUUAAUGUUUACAGCUCCUAAUUACGUUAAUUAAUCAGUCUCCGAGGUUGUCUCAGCCAGGAGCCCAAAGGCAGGAUUUCAGUUCCCACAGAUGUAGUUUAAGUCUCUGCCACAGCUGCUUGCAGUGAGGAGCUCAGCACGCUCUGCCUGCCAGGAUAUUUAUGCUGGGUCCUGAACAGGUUUUUCUGGGUUUUUCCUGCUGGAUUUUGAAACUCCCAGCAUCUGGGAGCAGGCUGAGCCGUGUUCAGGGAGAGGGAUGUUAAGUGGAAGCUGUCCCUGCAGAAGGGCCUUUUGGCAGGGGAGAAAGGCACUCAGAGAGCACUCUGCACCAGCACUGAUGGUUGAGAUACAGAGAUUACUGCCUUGGCAAAACCUGUAAUUGCUGGCUCUGUCAGAAAACAGAGGUGAAACUACUGAUAGAAAAGCCCCCAGACAUUGCCUCUUCUCAUAAUGUUUCUUUACUUUUGCAGGAAGACCAAGUGUUUGGGCAGAGGACACCCACAGUUGUGCCAUCCUCUGUCAGAGCUUCAUUUCCAUAAUUCAGAGCUUGUCUUUAUUCUCUUGAGGAAAACCAGAAGAUUUGGAUAAGAGACGCAACCCUGCAGAGGGAUUCAGAAGGAGAACCUCCUUGUUUUGUGCUAUUCCCCGAAGAAUUUGGUUUGUGUAAACAGCACAAAGUACAAGAGGGCAGGAGAAGAUACAUUCAUCUCCAGUGUGGCUGGACAAGGCCACGUGGAAAUCUGGAAAGCUUUAUGUGAAUAAUUUGCAAGCCAAAAAAGAGCAGCUCCACAGAAGUCAACCCGGGUAAACAGAAGCACGGAUGUAGCACAGCUGCCCAAACCUGAUUGAAGGAGUCAAGGAACAAACAGAGCAGGGUUUCAUCAGAAUGCAUUUGUGUUUCCAACUGGAAACUGCAUGCUGAAGGCAAGUCCAGUACCCUGAGCAAACACUGGAUGAUUAAUGGACAUGACACUGGUCCACAAGAUAAAUACAAGCCCUGUAACAUCACGGAGCAGCUCAAGAUACAAAACCAGUUUGCAGAGCAGCUUUAUGCAGAGCAAAUGAAACCUUGCUGCUAAAUCCCAGAAGUUUUGGGUGCUACUUCCCAAUUUACCAACCCACUGGAUGGGGUAAAUCCCAGAAAAUGAUAAAACCAGCCUGUAUUCCUUAGGACAAGGGCUUCCAGUGUCAGAAUUGCCAGUCUCAAAACUUCUUUGGCUGAAGUAAACUUCGUGGGAGACGCAGAGGUGUCAGAACCUGGUUUAAGACUGCGUAAGUAUGUGCUUAACUCUACUGAGACGUGAAGUUUCCCUGAGAUCAGCAGCACUGCUCGAGGAAAGCUACAUUUGGAGGAGUGGCUCCAAGGUCAGGCCUCAAGUACAAAAGUGCUUCAGAUUCAUGUGGGCUGCUGGAUAAUACCAGCAGCAGGCACCUAGAUGGCAGUCCCAGUGACGUGAUGUGAUUUGCUAUGGCAAAUAAUGGAGCUUCCAUCUCAUGGAAGAGUGAGUUCCCUCUCUUAAACCUGAUGUGUUCAGACAGGGAGAAAAGUCACUGUUCCUGAAGUUUAGAGUGUGCUGCCUGUAAUUCCAAAGACUGAGCCCAAGGUAAUGUGCAAAGUGAAGGUGUCCCACUCUAAUGUUUGUGGACCUGAUCCACAGCCAGUGACUGAAGGAGCACUUCUGACCCCUGCCAGCAGCGAUGCCUGCUCUGGUCUCCCCAGUCAGGAAUCCUCCAGCUCAGGAUUUUGGCUUUGCAGCUGGUGCAGAACUAACUCCUCCUCUGGGACUGGCAUCACUACCUUAAAGAUGGAUUCUGCAGUUUGUAGGAACUCAAAAUCAGGCUCUUUGGGGAAAAUGGACUUUUUAAGGGGUAAGUGUUUCUCUUUGCUCACCGGCACUCGAUGAAGCACUGGCUGAUCUGGUCCUGGAGGGUUUCCUUGAUGUGGGACCCCUCUGUUUGUCUCAGCUCUUGCCUGAAGGAUGGCUCCUCUCUCUCCUGGACUUCACCUUGAAGGACAUUUGCCUUCCCAGCACCUAUCUGCAAACUGCUCAUUGCCUCCAAGUCAGGAGGCAGGCUCUGAAAACAAGAGGAGAAAAUAAAAGGUAUGAAUGAAAAGAAACUUAAUACUUACUGGAAUGCCAGGGUGACAGUGAAUCCGAGCUUAAGCCUUCAUUUACUUGCAGGAAGCCAGGAAAAAAAAACAACCCUGUGCUCAUAAAAAGUGCCUGGAUGCACACAAUGGUCUAUUGUUGGUAUUUCAGCAUUAAUUAACAACAUUGCAAUGUACAAAAACAACCUUUGCAGCGUGGGAUCCCGGCAUCUCAAUGAGACAGGUUCCAAAAAUCACUGACAAGUGCCAAGCAAAUUUGGUUUCAGUGAGCACCCAGAGGGAUCCCACAGUGUCCAGAGCAAGCACAGAAGCCCCGUUCAGGAAAGCAAUUUACUGCCUCCCCUGCAUCUGGGAUGUGUGACUUGCACUGUGCUACAGGAAUCGGUCAAGGCCACCAGGGAGAAAAUAUUCAGGAGGAAAUAAGAGCAGCAGUGUGGUUUUGAAAGGUGCCUGCACAUGUUCCCUUCCUGAAUGUGUGACCCAAGUGCUGCCUCUUACCCUGAGAUGUUACCUUUGCUCAAUUCCCAGUUUCCAGGGGAGUCAAGUGUUUCCAAUCUUCCCCCUCACCAGCACCUAUUUGUAAGUACAACACAGCUACUAUUAUCAGUGUUCAUUUGUAUUUCACCAUUGUCUGCCUUGCUGAUGUUAAAUGAAGCCCAGGACAGAGCCAGAUGUGAUGCUGCUCUCUUGGGGGCUGGUUUGGAAAGUGGAGGUCCAGAAACAACGCCUCUCUUUGUCUCCCUACAGCAGUCCUCAGGGGACUGCUUUCCUGAGAAAUUCCCAUCAGAUGGGCAUGGGGAUACCUGCAGCUUUAGGGAGGCUGGUCUGGGGCUGAUGGAGAGAGGCUGAACAUUUAAAGGUGAAAUGUCCCCAGGUGAGCAGUUUAUUGGGGCUGGGAAGGGUCAGCUCCCGCUCCACCUGAACUGCUGGAUGCAUGAUCCCUCCCUUCUCCUACUCAGCCUCUGGCACUCAGCUGACCCUGCAGUGAACCAGUUCAGCUCCCUAAAAAGCAGAAAAUAAUCCCUUUUGUCUUUUCCUCUCCUCCCCCCUCUUCACGUUACUCAUUUCUCACUGUAACAAGGUGAAUCAGCCAGCCCAGGAGCAGCUGAGGGCCAGUGCCGCAGCAAGGGAAGUGCUGGACAAUGGGACCAGACCACAGGCAGCAGAGCUCCUCCUUGCCAUCCCAGAACCUUUCCAGCUCCUCUGAGUUGCUCUCCACUGCGUCUUGAGGGAGCCUUGGAUGACCAGCUUCUCUCACUGCCUCCCUUUCACCAGUCCCAAAGCCAGAUGAGGGGCAGAACUGGCACCCAAGGCUCUGUUCAGCUGUUACAGACCAGCAGAUACUAAAGGCAGUAAUCCAUAAGGUGUUACCUGGAUUUAACAAGGCAAAGCUUAGAUACGGAAUGAACUCUUCCCCUGGAGAUCACAGAAAAAGGCAUGAAUUCAGAGAUGCACUGAAUUCCAAGGGGAUGCCAGAAAGAGCAACUGAGGUCGUAAAAACCAGAAUGGGAAAACAACAUGUAAAUUCUCUUCAUGAAUGCUGCUCGAGCACGGCCUUGGCGAGCCCGUUCUGCCACCUGGACCACUUUAAUGCCUUCUUCAAGUGUCAUG